rfam:Oryza glaberrima chromosome 2 Oglab02_0210_10, whole genome shotgun sequence.
AAUAAGUGUAGUUUUGCGCUAUUCAUCUCUAAUAUUUGACCGUUCGUUUUAUUUGAAAAUUUUUUAUGAUUACUAUUUUUAUUGCUAUUAGAUGAUAAAACAUGAAUAGUACUUUAUGUGUGACUAAUUUUUUUAAUUUUUUUCAUAAAUUUUACAAAUAAGACGGAUGGUCAAACGUUGGACACGGAUUUCCACGGCUGCACUUAUU